UGGGUUGGUGGGAAUCUUUGUCCGUGCCACUUCAUUUGCGCUUUAGAACUUUAGAACCUACGAAAAAUGCGAAAUAUAUACUUGCAAUAUGGUUGACGCCAUCCAACACAAUAUCUGUAUUCCCUGGUACUAGCAGAGUCAAGGACAGUACAUCAUCUGUGAACAAUGCUCGCAUCAGUGGCUGCAAGAAGCUCAUCAGAAGUUUUGCCUCAGCUGUUAUUGACAAGCGUGUGCUUUUGUGACUGAAUGUGUAGAAGAUGCGGCCCGUGGUCCUCUACAGCUUUUUGUAACUUCCUGCUAGGCUCUUGCCUCAACUUGCGUGCCCUCUAGAAAUUU